rnacentral:rRNA from 1 species
GUAGGGAAUCUUGCGCAAUGGGCGAAAGCCUGACGCAGCCAUGCAGCGUGAAUGAUGAAGGUCUUAGGAUUGUAAAAUUCUUUCACCGGGGACGAUAAUGACGGUACCCGGAGAAGAAGCCCCGGCUAACUUCGUGCCAGCAGCCGCGGUAAUACGAAGGGGGCUAGCGUUGCUCGGAAUUACUGGGCGUAAAGGGAGCGUAGGCGGAUAGUUUAGUCAGAGGUGAAAGCCCAGGGCUCAACCUUGGAAUUGCCUUUGAUACUGGCUAUCUUGAGUAUGGAAGAGGUAUGUGGAACUCCGAGUGUAGAGGUGAAAUUCGUAGAUAUUCGGAAGAACACCAGUGGCGAAGGCGACAUACUGGUCCAUUACUGACGCUGAGGCUCGAAAGCGUGGGGAGCAAACAGGAUUAGAUACCCUGGUAGUCC